rnacentral:rRNA from 1 species
UACGGGGGGGGGCAAGCGUUUGUUCGGAAUUACUGGGCGUAAAGGGCUCGUAGGCGGCCAACUAAGUCAGACGUGAAAUCCCCAGGCUCAACCUGGGAACUGCGUCUGAUACUGGAUGGCUUGAAUCCGGGAGAGGGAUGCAGAAUUCCAGGUGUAGCGGUGAAAUGCGUAGAUAUCUGGAGGAAUACCGGUGGCGAAGGCGGCAUCCUGGACCGGCAUUGACGCUGAGGAGCGAAAGCCAGGGGAGCAAACGGGG